GUUUGUUUUUUGUGAACGCAGCAGGCUUUCAUCCGAGUUUAUGAACAGAACUAGCCAGUGGGCAGUGUUGGAGACGCAAUUAAACACCGCCAGAAGACCCGAAACGGGAAGACCUUGUCUAAUCCCUUUCUGCACCGGGCCGGGGAAAUCUCUUCUGGCAAAGUCUGGUCCCGCUGCAGAGGGUUAAGUGUUGGCUGUAAAUUUCCUGAGUCUGUACUUCAUCAUUAUUUUCUUUCAACGGGAGCUUUUAUGCUCUUCACAAAUUGAAGAACCGCUCUGGAGUUCACACGCGGCCGGGACACAUGGUGGUCCUAAUUUUCCAGGGUCACCAACCCAGAAAUGUUCAUUAUUUACAUGGCUCCUUGCUAAACUGGAUUCCUCUCUUAAGAAAAGUGGUCAUGAAUGGAGGUCAAGCUUGGACCGUGGACAUUUACUGGAAAAUGAAACAAAAAUAAAAGAAAUAAGUUCUGAUUCUCUUUAGAAUAAGUCUUACAGGUAAGUUUGGUUUCUCGGUCGGAUGCCUUCUUAGUCAAGCAAAGCGAAACGCUAGUAGCUGUGUGUGUCCACCCUGCAUUUCACCGUGGCUUUGUUUCUAAAAGAAAAUUUCUAAGUCAAGUGCUAAUUUGUUUUUGCCCUUAGAAAAAUUGAGAGUAGUGGUAAAUGCAAAGGUGGGGACAAUUGAGGACCAGGACAUCUCAGAUCCUCUUGGAAAUAAGUAAGAAAACACUCGCACCUCUUCAAGGCAAAGCUAGGUGUUUUGUCCCUUACACGUUUCCCAUCUGAUCUUCAUGGCAAUCACAAUAUUGUCACUUUUCCUCUUGCUUUUACAGGUAGGAAAGCCAAUGUGAAACAGGAAAACUGAAUCCAAAUUCAUCCAGCGUAAAAACCCAUGUAAUAUUUUCUUCCCUCUGGAAACGGGGGUGUCCGUGUACUUGACGUGGUUUGCACCAAAACUUAGGCAUGUGGUCCUGCCUGGGAGUUAAACAGGCACACGGAUUUCUUUGGAGAUUUCCAGUUCUUCGAAUGCGAUUUGCAAAAGCCAGAUUCUCUUGUGUGUAGGCUGAGCUGUCUCCCAGAAAACCAGGGGGAGAAGCCAGGCUGUAAAAAGCCCCCAAAGCAUGCAGCGCUCAGUCCUGCGGGUCGGGUUAGGGGCCAGGACUGGGUGUGGUUGUUUCCAAGGGGGAAAAAUUGGUGGAAAAAUACAUGAAUUACUCCCAAGCUACUGGCUGGGUUGGUAUUAUUUAGAAAAGAGUCAACGCGCCUAAUUCGUUCCAGAAGCCUGCUUAUCCAAACAAUGAACGCACUUCAGGCCCCCUCAGGUGAGUCAUCCACGGCCCGUCUCUGCUUUGGAUCAUUGAACUCUCUGUCCACCCAAAUCCAAGACCCAGCUCUGCAAUCAGGUUUUUUUUAUUGUUGUUUUUUUUGCAACCAUUUUAAAAGAGACAUAAAAUAAAACGGAGAGGAAACUCGAUGCCGAGAAACACACAGAGCUGCACACAUCUGGGUUUGAUUGGGGCUGUGUUUUUAUUUCCAUGUUGCAGCUUUCAUUUUUCCAAAUGACCGAUGGGUGAAAAAUUUUUAAUGGCUGUAACCCUUUUUUUCCAACCGACAACGGCGAUCCGGGCUGUCAGAGCCCCAACCACGUUGCACGGUUCUGCGAAAACAUAUCAAGGAUAGAAGUCUCCCGUCCUUACAAAAGCCCUGCUUAAUUGAUCGCGUAUGCUAUAGGGUGGCCACGUCUCCAUGUCUCACAUGACCGUGUGCAGCCUGGGGUAAUAACAGAGCCCAGGAUCCAUUUAAUAAGGAGGUUGUCAAACCCGGAAUCUGUGUACUGAGCUACAGCACUGGCUUUAUUUUAUUUUAUACCCACAUAUUCCCAAUGGCAAUUUUAGCCCUGCUUUUGGGCUGCCACCCAUCCCAUAGGAUAAAGUGUAGAAUUUCCCACUGCUUUCAUGUUCUGAGUUCCAAAAGUUAUAAGUUUUGGAGUAUAUUCGUUUUCUUAUUUUCAGAUUAUGGAUUUCAACCCUGUGGGUUUGUUUUUUUUUUAAGUGUUGGAUAAAUCUGGGGUCAGCAGCACACACAACUGUCAUCCCAGUGCUUUGGGAGGCCGAAGCAGGAGAGUCCCAAGUUCCAUCCCAGCCUGGGGAACUUAGUGACAACGCUUAGACUGUCUCAAAAUUUUAAAAAUUUAGAAAGGGAUUGGGAUGGAGAUCAGUGUGAAGGCCUUGGGUUCAAGCCUCACAGUGAAAAAUUUUAUAAAUAAAUAAAUAACAAUUUUGUCCUUUCAAAAAAUAACUGUGCUCCAUAAAAAGCUAUGUCUUCAGCUUUUGUUAUUUUAGUGAUUCACAUUAAAUUUAAUAUGUGUCUUAUUAUUAGCAGGAAGACACUAAAACUAUGCUUUCCACUCUCCUAGAAGGAGACAGUAUUUCCGACUCUGAUUACUUCCUUUGCCUCCAACAAGUUAUUGGGACAUUAAUUUUGUCUCCACCUUCUUUUCUACCUUCAAGUGAGCCAUAAUGUUACUGAUGGGGACUAUGGAGGUUCACCUAGCUGUAGGAAUUUCCCAAAGCAGUGGUGCUGUAUGCGCCCAGUGCUGGCUGGGAUUUAUAUUCUGCUUUCUUCUUCUUCGUCCUUCUUCCUUCUUCCUUCCUUCUUCUUUCUUCUUUCUUCUCUCAGCACCGGGGACUGAACCCAAGGCCUUUGCACACAACUCCAUCCCAGCCCCUCUUUGUAGCUCAUUUGGAGACAGCGUCUGGCUGAGUUGCUCGGUUGCCCAGACGGGGUCCACACUAGCUACGCUCCUCCCUCAGCCUCCCCGAGUGUGGGUCGGUUCCUGUUUUCCCCCAGCAUUUCUCAUUCCCUGUCCAUCCUGCUGAUCCUGGUGUCUUCCUCUUCCUGAGGAAAGUUCUCUUUAGGAACCAGUCCUUUCUGUCCGCAUUUGCUGUGCGGAGUCGAGACCUGACCCCAUCCUGCUCAGCGCUGAAGAUGGAAAUCUUUCUCUGCAGGUGUUUCUAAACUUUGGAUUUUUGAAAUCAUGAUGGACCCCAGGGAGCUAUCACUUGCUAUUUCUAUUUCUCUCUCUCUCUCUCCUUUGUUAGAAAAAUGUACACGUUUUCUCUCUCUACAAAUUCAGGUUUUCAAGCAGACUAUCUUGAAAUUCAUUCAAAAAAUAACUUGGUAGUCAAAGAGGAGGCAUGAUCUUUCUUUCUUUCUCUUUCUUUCUCUCUUUCUUUCUUUCUUUCUUCACACAGGGUCCCGUUAUGUAUCCAUGGCUGGCCUCAAACUUUCCAUUCUCCUGCCUCAGCCUUCCUUAGCCAGCACACAGCCCGUUGCCCUGGGAAUCCCAAGAUUAUGGUAUGAUGUGAUAGAAGCCAUGAUCAACUGGCAUCCUGGGGAUUUAUUAUGGCUCCACUGGGGACAAUCCCAUACUGGCAUGGGAGCCAAAGGCAGGAGGAGGAGGUGCCCUGCUGGGGAAACACCUACAACAGCCAAAUCUUGGAAGUGGACUGUAUGUCUAUCAGCUGAUACAUGCAUAAAGAAAAUGUGGUGUUUACACACAAUGGAGUACUAGUCUGCCGUGAAGAAGGAUAAGCUUGAGGCACAUGUAGGAAAAUGGAUGCACGUUGAGACCAUAAUGUUAAGCAAAAUAAAUCAGGCACACGAGCUUCAGUGGGGCAUGGUUUCUCUUCUAUGAGAACUCCAACGUGUAAAUAAAGAGCACAAUAAAAGACAGAAAAUAGAAAGGAGGGAGAUGAAGCUUUUGCACGUGAGAAGCGGACCAAAAGAUGCAGGGGUGGAAAGGGCAGGCGGGAAGCAAACAGGAUGAAGUUGUCCGUGCACCACGUUCCCACGGUGAAGGCAACAUUACAGACAGCAAACACAGACUAACGGAAAGCAAACACAAACCGAAAGACAGCUCAGUGUCAGGUGCGGACAACGCAGUGUCUUGCUCUGGAAUCCUGCACACCCGGAAGAGGAGCGUGUGGGCAGCGUUUGUUGACUGCCCCACACGAGCCGCGCCAAGGUCCUGUUCAGCCUCACUGUCUGUGCUCCCGUCCCCCGCGGAUCUGGCCGUGACUUUCUCUUCUUCUUCGGAAAGCACAGAAGUUCUUUGCUAAGACCAGGUUGCCAGUCCUUGGGCUCUUUGCAGAAUUCUUUCCUCUUCACCUGAGGACGAGAAGCGUCGGCUGGGGACCUCGUGUGACAAAUGAAUCUCGCAGAGAUGUUUACAGGCUGCUUAAACAAACUGCGGAUCCUUAAUCGAGUUGGGUCAACCGUGUUUAUCCGUGGGGUCCGUGCUUAGGGGCUGGAGAGCAAAUCAACAAAUACAAGUCGGGCAUCGCUGACCCGGGAAGGGUCUCCAGGGUGGGAAAUGGCAGGGCAACGUGCUUGCCAGUCACUCAAGGUCACCUUGAAAUCUCAGCAGUGGGAGUGGAAAAGUCGAUCUAUUGCGCAUGGUGACUUAAUAAAACUUGGUGAAUCUUCCUCUGGGAUGUGGACUCUCUAAGCAGUUUCGAUGUCCGGGUUAUCUUUUAUUUUGCCCAAAAUAAACUUUUUCUUAACUUGCUUUGGAAUUUGUUUCUGGAAGAAUACUCCCCAGAGGAAAGAGGGUAGCCACGGUUUCUUGAAAACUGCAUUUCUCCUCCCAAAACUCUGUGCUGAGAAUUCAAGUCGCCCCCUGGCUACGGGGCCGGCUGUCUGACACAGUCACCGAAACACGCGGUUUCAUGAAAGCUGCUCCCUUAGCAUCAUCCUCAGGCUCUCAGAUCUGCAAAGUCCCAUAAAAGUAAAAAAUAAAAUUGCAAAGUGAAAUACCUGAGCAUGGAGGCACACACCUGUCAUCCCAGUACUCUGGGAGGCCAGGGCAGGAGGAUCACAAGUUCCAGUCCAGGCUGGGCAAUUUAGCAACUUAGUGAGACCAUCUCAAGUCUCAAAAUAAAAACCGAAAGGAUGGAGCUCAGUGUGAAGGCUCUAGGUUGAAUCCUCAGGACUGCAAAUACACAAAACAAAUUUUG
ensembl:lncRNA